GACGAACGCUGGCGGCGUGCUUAACACAUGCAAGUCGAACGGAAAGGCCCUGCUUUUGUGGGGUGCUCGAGUGGCGAACGGGUGAGUAACACGUGAGUAACCUGCCCUUGAUUUUGGGAUAACUUCAGGAAACUGGGGCUAAUACCGUAUAGGAGCUCCUGCUGCAUGGUGGGGGUUGGAAAGUUUCGGCGGUUGGGGAUGGACUCGCGGCUUAUCAGCUUGUUGGUGGGGUAGUGGCUUACCAAGGCUUUGACGGGUAGCCGGCCUGAGAGGGUGACCGGCCACAUUGGGACUGAGAUACGGCCCAGACUCCUACGGGAGGCAGCAGUGGGGAAUAUUGCACAAUGGGCGGAAGCCUGAUGCAGCAACGCCGCGUGCGGGAUGACGGCCUUCGGGUUGUAAACCGCUUUCGCCUGUGACGAAGCGUGAGUGACGGUAAUGGGUAAAGAAGCACCGGCUAACUACGUG
rnacentral:rRNA from 1 species